rnacentral:rRNA from 1 species
GACGAACGCUGGCGGCGUGCUUAACACAUGCAAGUCGAACGGAAAGGCCCUGCUUUUGUGGGGUGCUCGAGUGGCGAACGGGUGAGUAACACGUGAGUAACCUGCCUUUGACAUUGGGAUAACUUCAGGAAACUGGGGCUAAUACCGGAUAGGAGCUCCUGCUGCAUGGUGGGGGUUGGAAAGUUAUGGCGGUUGGGGAUGGACUCGUGGCUUAUCAGCUUGUUGGUGGGGUAGUGUCUUACCAAGGCUUUGACGGGUAGCCGGCCUGAAAGGGUGACCGGCCAAAUCAGGACUGAGAUAAGACCGAAACACAUACGGGAGGCAGCAGUUGGGAGUAUUGCACAAUGUGCGGAGGCCUGGUGCAGCAACUCCGCGUGCGGGAUGACAGAAUUCGGGUUGUAUACCACUUUCGCCUCUGUCGAAACGUGAAUGACGGUAAUUGGUAAAGAAACCCCGACUAACUCCGUG